AACGACGUAAGAGUUUGAUCCUGGCUCAGGAUGAACGCUAGCGGGAGGCCUAACACAUGCAAGCCGAGCGGUAUUUGUUCUUCGGAACAGAGAGUGCGGCGUACGGGUGCGGAACACGUGUGCAACCUGCCUUUAUCAGGGAGAUAGCCUUUCGAAAGGAAGAUUAAUAUCCCAUAAUAUUUAGACUGGCAUCAGAAUAAAUUGAAAGCUCCGGCGGAUAGAGAUGGGGCACGCGCAAGAUUAGAUAGUUGGCGGGGUAACGGCCCACCAAGUCAAUGAUCUUUAGGGGGCCUGAGAGGGUGAUCCCCCACACUGGUACUGAGACACGGACCAGACUCCUACCGGGAGGCAGCAGUGAGGAAUAUUGGACAAUGGGUGAGAGCCUGAUCCAGCCAUCCCGCGUGAAGGACGACGGCCCUAUGGGUUGUAAACUUCUUUUGUAUAGGGAUAAACCUACCCUCGUGAGGGUAGCUGAAGGUACUAUACGAAUAAGCACCGGCUAACUCCGUGCCAGCAGCCGCGGUAAU
rnacentral:rRNA from 1 species